rnacentral:rRNA from 1 species
CAGCAGCCGCGGUAAACGAAGGGGGCUAGCGUUGCUCGGAAUGACUGGGCGUAAAGGGCGCGUAGGCGGAUUGUUUAGUUAGGCGUGAAAUUCCUGGGCUUAACCUGGGGACUGCGCUUAAUACAGGCAGUCUAGAGUGAGGAAGAGGGUUGUGGAAUUCCCAGUGUAGAGGUGAAAUUCGUAGAUAUUGGGAAGAACACCGGUGGCGAAGGCGGCAACCUGGUCCUUGACUGACGCUGAGGCGCGAAAGCGUGGGGAGCAAACAGGAUUAGAUACCCCCGUAGUCCCUGUCUCUUAUACA